rnacentral:rRNA from 1 species
AGAAUCAACGGCCUAACACAUGCAAGUCGAACAAGAAAGGACUUCGGGAAACCGAGGCUAAUACCGCAUAAUACCCACGGGUCAAAGGAGCAAUUCGCUUCGGUAUCCGGCCUGAGAGGGCGCACGGACACACUGGAACUGAAACACGGUCCAGACUCCUACGGGAGGCAGCAGUGGGGAAUUUUGCGCAAUGGGGGAAACCCUGACGCAGCAACGCCGCGUGGAGGAUGAAGUCUCUUGGGACGUAAACUCCUUUCGAUCGGAACGAUUAUGACGGUACCGUUGUUCGGAAUUAUUGGGCGUAAAGGGUGCGUAGGCGGUUCGGUAAGUUUGAUGUGAAGAGUGGAAUUUCCGGUGUAGCGGUGAAAUGCGUAGAUAUCGGAAGGAACACCUGUGGCGAAUCUUCGGGCUCAACUCGAAGUCUGCAUCGAAAACUGCCGGGCUUGAGUGUGGGAGAGGU